rnacentral:rRNA from 1 species
UAAUACGGAGGGUGCAAGCGUUAAUCGGAAUUACUGGGCGUAAAGCGCACGCAGGCGGUUUGUUAAGUCAGAUGUGAAAUCCCCGGGCUCAACCUGGGAACUGCAUUUGAAACUGGCAAGCUAGAGUCUCGUAGAGGGGGGUAGAAUUCCAGGUGUAGCGGUGAAAUGCGUAGAGAUCUGGAGGAAUACCGGUGGCGAAGGCGGCCCCCUGGACGAAGACUGACGCUCAGGUGCGAAAGCGUGGGGAGGCAAACAGGAUUAGAUACCCUGGUAGUCCACGCUGUAAACGAUGUCGAUUUGGAGGUUGUGCCCUUGAGGCGUGGCUUCCGGAGCUAACGCGUUAAAUCGACCGCCUGGGGAGUACGGCCGCAAGGUUA